GGUUGCUAUCAUACCAGCACUAAUGCACCGGAUCCCAUCAGAACUCCGCAGUUAAGCGUGCUUGGGCGAGAGUAGUACUAGGAUGCGUGACCCCCUGGGAAGUCCUCGUGUUGCAACCCC
rnacentral:rRNA from 1 species